AUCCGGCUGACGAGUCCCAAAUAAGACAAAACGAACGUUAUGGAU
rnacentral:hammerhead_ribozyme from 1 species